CCAUAUACCUCUCAACAGAACGGCGAGGCCGAACGAGCAAUUCGCACGGCCAACAAUGUCAUCCGCACUCUCCUCAUUCAAGCGUCUCUCCCACCAUCCUUUUGGGCUGAAGCACUUCGCACAGCCACCUUUCUCAUCAAUAUUCGUCCCACUUCUUCAAAGCAAUUCCUCACGCCGUAUACCCUACUCUUAGGCUCUCCACCACCAUAUGCUAGCCUUCGUGUCUUCGGUUGCCUAUGCUAUCCAAACACUACAUCCACCUCCGCUAACAAACGCUCUCCAUGUUCGACUAGAUGUGUCUUUCUUGGCUACCCUUCACGGCACAAAGGUUAUCGUUGCCUUGACCUUACCACUCGUCGUAUUAUUAUCUCUCGUCAUGUAGUUUUCGACGAGUCUACCUUUCCCUAUGAACCAACUCCAGCAACUCCACCACGUUGCACCGAAAUCUUUGAUCCACCCGUAUAUCAACCCGCUAUGUAUGCGCCCACUCCACCCAAACCAACUAUGAAUGUGCCCGCUACACCCACACCCACUAUGCAUGCACCCACUUCUCCCCAACCUGCUAUGCAUGCGCCCACUAACCCAACACCUCCCAUACCUGACCUCGUCUCCCCAUCAUCUCCACCGGGACCACUCAGUCCGCCUGUGCCCGCAACCUCUCUGCCUACUCCCGUCCCACCACCUCCUCUUGCACCUAUACACCGUACACUUUCCACUACCGGUCGCCUCCUCCCACCCAUCGAUCACCUAAACCUCUCAGCCAUAGCCUCUUCGCCUCUUCCAUAUAACUAUCUUAUAGCAUUACGCGAUCCAAAUUGGCGCCAAGCCAUGCAAGAGGAGUUUGAUGUCCUUAUACUUAUUAACACUCGACUUUGGUCCCUCCACCACCUGGAGCAAAUAUUGUGA
rnacentral:rRNA from 1 species